UCGAAGUACCUUGAGUGGCGGACAAGCAGAUUGAAGAUUAGGAGCAAACAUAGAUAAACGUAACGACUCUCGGCUUAGCUCCGUGCUCUUUGCAAAAUAAGAUGUUGCAAGCAUUGGUGCGUAGAAGCUCACAUAUCCUGGUACCGCUACUCUCAUCAAGCUGCAAACAACUUCACAUUAAUUAUGAAUAGGACGCUUUUCUACUGAAGCACGUGGGAAAUAUGCAAAAUGCCCAUUUCCUCGCUAGUAGAAGAAGCACAAUUUCCAAAAUCAAUUAGAACAGCGAUGAGAAAACAUAAGAGCAAUAAUGAUUAUAAUAAUAACAAUGAAGGUUCAGGAUAGUCAGUGGUUGGACUCAUCAUUGAUGUAGAAAACAGUCACGAGAACAGAAACAAAACCAACAAUUUUCAUUUCGUGAUGUUUUAAACGCAUGUAUUAAUGAAGUAUUUGAAGAAAUUGCAGUUAAAUCUCGAGUCGCCCGUAGCGAAACCUAACAACGUCACACCUAUAUGAUUUGAGUUGAGAACGAGGUGGAGAAACACGAAGGCAGUAAAACAAAACAACGAAGAUUCAUGCUGUUCCGUACCU
rnacentral:lncRNA from 1 species